GUCGGCUAUGGAGACAUGGUCCCUCGGAGCUAUGGAGGGAUGUUUGUCGGAGCUUUGUGUGCCUUGGCCGGUGUGCUGACCAUCGCGUUACCGGUUCCAGUCAUUGUGUCCAAC
rfam:Strigamia maritima strain Brora ctg7180001233637, whole genome shotgun sequence.